CCUACGGGUGGCAGCAGUGAGGAAUAUUGGUCAAUGGGCGCGAGCCUGAACCAGCCAAGUAGCGUGAAGGAUGACUGCCCUACGGGUUGUAAGCUUCUUUUAUAAAGGAAUAAAGUGAGGCACGUGUGCCUUUUUGUAUGUACUUUAUGAAUAAGGAUCGGCUAACUCCGUGCCAGCAGCCGAGGUAAUACGGAGGAUCCGAGGGUAAUCCGGAUGUAUUGGGUGUAAAGGGAGCGUAGAUGGGUUGUUAAGUCAGUUGUGAAAGUUUGCGGCUCAACCGUAAAAUUGCAAUUGAUACUGGCAGUCUUGAGUACAGUAGAGGUAGGCGGAAUUCGUGGUGGAGCGGUGAAAUGCUUAGAGAUCACGAAGAACUCCGAUGGCGAAGGCAGCUUACUAAACUGCCACUGACAUUGAUGCUCGAAAGUGUGGGUAGCAAACAGGAUUAGAUACCCGAGUAGUC
rnacentral:rRNA from 1 species